rnacentral:rRNA from 1 species
UACGUAGGGGGCAAGCGUUGUCCGGAAUUAUUGGGCGUAAAGCGCGCGCAGGCGGUCUCUUAAGUCUGAUGUGAAAGCCCACGGCUCAACCGUGGAGGGUCAUUGGAAACUGGGGGACUUGAGUGUAGGAGAGGAAAGUGGAAUUCCACGUGUAGCGGUGAAAUGCGUAGAUAUGUGGAGGAACACCAGUGGCGAAGGCGACUUUCUGGCCUAUAACUGACGCUGAGGCG